CAUUAUUGCACAAUUUUUUUAUUUCUCAGGGAACCCCUGUAAUUGUUCUGAACGGGAUAAAAAACCGCAGUUCUCCCUGGCAGUGUAUUAACAUCCCAUCAAUGUGCCCUCAUGGAGUUAAAAAUGAUUCAGAGACUGACGAAGUAGUGUUCCUCUACGUCUACUUACCUCUUCAAGAUGAAGCGAAACCCUCACCAACAAACAACUACAACUUCAAGUUCCACGAGGAAUCCAUCUAGUGGGGAUAUUUUGAACUAAUGGUGCCCCCCUCCCCCUCUAUAGAUAGAUAGAUAGAUAGAUAGAGGUCAAAUGGGUUCCUGUGAUCUCCGAAAUCCAAAUAAUGUAACUGAAGUCUAUUUAUUUCGUCAAAUGACUUUUAAAAACUUCAUUUUAUAUUAAUGAUCUAAACAUUAGAAAAUAUGAUUUGGAAUGUUUUCUUAAAAAUACUUUUUUAUAAUAUUUUCAUUAAAACAUCUUUGUAUUUUUGAUAAACAAUGCAAGACUGCAAUAUAAUAUAAUAUGAUAGUAUCUAUAAAUAAUUAUGAAUUUAGAAAGAAAUAUAUGAUAUUUUAAA